rnacentral:rRNA from 1 species
GACAAACGCUGGCGGCAUGCCUAACACAUGCCAGUCGAACGGACAGAACAGGGAAGCUUUUCGGAGUGGAACUGGAAAGUUAGUGGCGGAUGGGUGAGUAACGCGUGGACAACCUACCUUGUAAAGGGAAUAACCCCCAGAAAUCGAAACCAAUACCCCAAAAAAAACUUUCCUUGCCUGAAGUAAGGAGGGAAAGCGGCCCUAGCGCCGUCGAUAACAGAUGGGUCCGCGUCUGAUUAGCUAGUUGGUGAGGUAAAGGCUCACCAAGGCGACGAUCAGUAGCCGGCCUGAGAGGGUGAACGGCCACAUUGGGACUGAGACACGGCCCAAACUCCUACGGGAGGCAGCAGUGGGGAAUCUUCCGCAAUGGGCGAAAGCCUGACGGAGCAAUGCCGCGUGAGUGAAGAAGGCCUUCGGGUCGUAAAACUCUGUCCUUAUCGAAGAGAGAGUGUUGUAGUAACUGACAAUACUAGGACGGUAGAUGAGGAGGAAGCCCCGGCUAACUAUGUG